ACUGGGUAAUAGUUGAAAGCAAUCGUAUAUUUACUAAAUUCUUUAUCACUUAGCCGAAAUUCGUAUCUAUAGUUUUGUAUAUAAAUAACAAAAUGGCGAGUGUUUUGCUUUCACACUCACAGCAUUCGCAGGUUGAAACUUUAAAGAGGCGUAAGAAACAAACUAAAAUUCUAAAAAAAUAAAUAAACUAAAAAAUUCUUUUGUCUGUUCGCGAACAUUUAUCUUUAUCGGAUGAAGCAACACGGUUUGUCUGUCGACUGCGAAAUUCUCAGCUGCAGCAACUCAAUAUUUGGUAUCAGGCUUUUCUGCCAGCAGUCUCUUCUUCCUCAAGAUGACAUUUCUGACGUGUUCCUUAGGAUGGUCAUGUUGGUUUUUGAUUAUGUCAUUAAGGAUGUGCUGUUGAGCGAAAAGACUACUACACAGUGGAAACUGGUUCAAGAACAGAUGACUAAUUAACAACAAUGAAAAGACAAAUCAGAAACAAGAGGAGAGGCAUUUACUACACAUGUGCAGUUUGUUUGGUUUUAUUUACAGUCAUUAUUUUAAGAUCCGCCAAACAGUCAAAGAUCUCAAAGUUGAGACUUAAAUCUCGAAUGGAUUCUUAUUUUUCAGUUGAUUGUGUCUAACACAAAUAAGAUGGAACUGAAGCAUCCCACAUGCACAAUAGCAAUAAUGAGAACUAUGAGAGAGGAUAUGAAUUGUGGCUUAUGGUUAAAGCCAAAAAGAGAAAUCAAAAUAUUAAAUUGUAUGGCCUUACUUGGGCAUUUUCUGGUUGGAUUGGUCAAGGCACACAUAAUCCUUAUACAAAUGUUUCUCUGACAGCUUACAUUGUUUGAUGGAUUACUGGAGCUACAAGAAGGCAUAAUUUAACAAUAGUCUACAUUGGGCUGCCAUUAUCCAAGCACAUAUGAUUCUCCGGAGGCUUACAUCACUGGAAAAAGUCUUUCGCCUCUGAAGAUUACAGUACAUGUAAUGCUGCAAAUGGAGGAGGAUGCUGGGCCAGAUGUCAUACACAACAGAAGCAGAAAGAAGGGUGAAAAUGCAACGGCGCCUGGUGAUUAUAUAUGCCCAACCUGCGAUCGCAGCAGUGUAUCAAGGAUUGGCCUCUUUAGUCACACAAGAAGUUGCAAAGGAUUUGAUUUGGUGAUCCCUCUUCAGAAACAUCAGAUCAAAGGAAUGUACAUGCUGCUGAUAUAGAAAAAGUUUCUGACUGCUUACAGAUCAGUGUUCUUAGUUCUGCUAUUGAUUUACUAUUGCAUAAUAAAUAAACAUGUAAUGAUCAAUCACAUUUUUAUACCAAGUUCAUCUAAUGAUUUACACAGCAUAUUAUCAGCAUUCACAGUUCAUCUAAUGAUCUACAUAUGAAGCAGCACCAUGCAGAGCUAACAUCACCUACUGAAGAGAGUUUCCAUCAUGCUUUAGCAACAAUCCAAAAACAAAAUGAAAAAGUGGUUUCUUUGUUUGGGAUAAGUCCUGAAAGGCCUUCAGAAUCUGGGAGCACACUAUUGUUAACAAGCAGUGUGUCAUAUGACCAGCACAAUGACCAACAGCCUUUACUUUUCGAACCAAAGUCAGGUAACUAUGAAACUAUCUAAAGCACAUAGGAGUCUAAUGACACAUUUUUACUAAACUUUAAAUUAAAUGGAUCUUAAAUGUCUAGUGAAACAUUGUAAUCAAACUAUGAUUUUUGAAUAUAGUCUAGUAAAACAUUAUGAUUGAACUUUGUUUAGUGCAUAAAUGUCUAGUGAAAAAUUCUGAUAAAACUUUGUUUAGUUCAUAUGAGUGUAGUGAAAAAUUGUGACCCAACUUUGUAAUAUGCAUAAAAGUCUAGUGAAACAUUUUGAUCAAACUUUGUAAAGUUCAUAGAUGUCUGGUGAAACAAUCUGAUCAAAUCUUUUUAGCGCAUAAAAAUCUAGUAAAACAUUCUUAUCACCUAUGCUUAUCUUAUAGAAGUCUAAAAAAAAGUUCCCUUUUCAGUCCUUGUAAUCUAUAGGAAAGUUAAUAUUAAGGUUAUAAAUCUGUUUUUGUGGCCUACAGUUAACAAGCAGUUUGUCAUGUCUCCUUAUUAAAGGUUCUGGAUUUGUUAGUGGUUUGCAGCUUGUUCAUAUUUCCUUUUUGAACUCAUUAGUAUUUCUGAACUUCUUUUUAAUUUCUUAGACAGCUCAUUAGGAGUAUGGAACCCUUUCCUAUGACAACUUUUUAGGAGUGUUAUGGUAUCAUUGAUAUGUGUGUGUGUGUUUUAUGAUUAGGGUUAGUUAUGCAAUGAGAAUGAUGCAAGAUAAGCCGCCUUGUCAUUAGUGUUCUUGACUCCAGAAUGCCUAUUUGAAAGUACAUUUUUUUAGUGAGUUAGAUUUUCUUUGGAAUACAAUUUUUUCAUUAUUACUAAGUUUAUUACAUUUAGGCUUUCCCCCAGGAUAGAUUACAGUUAUUCAUUUCAUUUAAACUUGAUUUUCUUUAUAAUGUAAUUCAAGUUCUGUUUUGUUUGUUGUAAAAUGUUUUACAUGUUUCGGAUGUUCCUUCAGAGUUGAAGAUAAUUACUUCCUAGUCCUAACCUCCCGCAGGACGACAGAGGAUGGGAGCGGGCAGGGUUUUAACCCUGGACCAUCGAUAAAUCUGAACGACAGUCCAGCGCGCAAACCACACGACCAGGCAGCCAUCCAGUUCUAUUUAGUAUUAAUCACAAAAAAUCAAUAAGUAAUUUCAAGUUAAGAUGUAAUAUACCUUUAGUAGUUUAAUUGUGUACCAGCAGUUUGGUGCUUCAGGUCAACAACCAUACACUACAAGGAGUUGUCAACUGGUUGAUACUUACUUUGAGAACUCAUUAGGAGUUUGCAACUUGUUAACAUUUUCUUAGCUCAUCAGGAGUUUGCAUCUUGUUCAUAUUUUCUUAGAUCAGUGUUUCCCAAACUGUGUUCUGUAGAACCCUAUUUAACUAGUAACCACAACAUAAAUUUAUCUCUGUAAAAAAAAACAACAAAAUGUUUCGCUAAUGACUCAAAAUGUGUGAAGUGUUCCAUUAAGAAAAAUAAUGCCUUAGAGAACUAACUAAGAGUUUGCAACUUGUUCAUAUUUCAUAAUAUAUAGCUCAUUAGGAGUUUGCAACUUGUUUAUAUUUUAUUAGACAACUUAUAAGGAGUUUGAAAUUCAUUCAUAAUUCCUUGACAACUAAAGGAGUCUGCAACAUGUUCAUGUUUACUUAGACAGCUCAUUAGGAGUUAAGAACCUAUUCAUGUUUCCUUAGAGAACUUAUUAGGUGUAUGGAACUUGUUCAUAUCUCCUUGACAGUUCAUUAAGAUUCUGCAAUUUGUUCAUAUUUCAUUUGACAGCCCAAUAGGAGUUCAGAACUUGUUCAUAUUUCCUUUCUUGAAGGUCACCAAUACAUUUCUGUAAAUAAUGUUGAAUAAUGUCUAUAUUCAAAUUUUUUUGAAAUACUAAAUUUGAUUUAAAUGGCUUUGGUUAGAUUAAAAUCAUGUCUGAAACUUUGUCACAAGUUUAGAGAUUGUCUAUUCUUACUCUUAAUUUUACCUUUUUAUUAACUUGCGUAUUUUUGUUUUUAUUUCUUACUCAUAAUUUUUACCUUUUUAUUAACUUGUGUAUUUUUGCUCUUUUUUUAGGACACUGUUCAAAGAUAUUUUAAGAUGUUGGCCUCACAUCUUGACACUUGUUAGAGUGUAAAGAUUUGACUUAACAAAUGUUAAAAUAAAAAGAGCACAUUGUGGAGGGUUGACCGUCAUUAAAAAAUUUACAUGUACUUAUUCUGUUUAAAAAAAUGUCCCUCUAACAAAUAAAAAAAAAUAAAGUAAAUAUAUUACUCUU